GGUUAAUCCUAGAGGGACCUGGCACCCAGACCACUUCAUUAAGCUGAAGUGGUCUGGGUGCAUAGAGUGGUCCUUUAACUUCAGGCUUUUUGCUGUAAGCACUGUUUUUUCAGAGAAAAUGUGGUGGUUACAUAACAGCCUAGUGAUAACUUCACUGGCCACUCCUUAGAUGGUUGUUAGAGAUCCUUCCUGGGUCAUGGCUGCCUAAAAUGCAUCCAAACAUUGUCUCCUCCCUCUGCAUGCAGACACUGAACUUUCCUCAUAGAUAUGCAUUGAUUCAAUUCAACUCUAUAAGGAGAUGCUGAUUGGCCAGGGUUGUGUUUGAAUCAUGCUGGCUCUGCCCCUGAUCUGCCCUUUGUCAGUCUCAGCCAAUCCUAUGGGGACGCAUUGUGAUUAACUUAGGCUACCACUUCUGCUGAUGUCAGCAGGCAGUGGGCAGGUCUGAAGGAAACCGGGACAGAGCCAGCAGCUCCAGAUUUGAAUAAAAGUAAGAUUUCUAUAUUUAGGGAGUCAUGAGGGACUCGAGGUGGCUCGAUGGUGGUUUUAACACUAUAGGGUCAGGAAUACAUGUUUGUGUUCCUGACCCUAUAGUGCUACUUUAACCAUGUGCACUACCCUAACUUUGUACUGUCCCUUAAAACCCUUAUUCUACAAUAACCCUAGCAUAAAAUGUAAUAUAAAAGAUGCAUGUCAAAGAAUGUUUUUUGGGGUAAUUUACUGCUUUCUCUGAGUUCUGAGGACAUUUAAAAACAAAGAUAAAACCACUGAACUGUUAGCAUAAUUUAUUACGAUAAUUUGAGAAUUCCUUAAUAGUGCAGGCAAUGAAAGCGUUUCUAUAUAGAACGAAAUGGACAUACACAGUGCGGGUAUCUGUUCUCAAACUAUGUUAAAAUAAUAUGACAAAAUGACAAACUACACUGAGACAGUGCCAAUGCAGUACUGGCACCAUAACCAUCAGUGAGCUGUUCUGUUCUAGUGACAGGAGUUAUUCUUUACGAUAAAUGCAAGAAAGAAAUUGGAACACUUUCAAAAGUGUCUCCUUUGGGGAGUUCAAAAACCUGUUCCAUUUUAAAACUAGUAUGAAAAUUUUCUAUUUUUCUUUGUAUAAUACAACAGAUAAUUGUGCCAUACCCAAACAGAGAAGCAUAGCCACAACACAAAAAUCGACACACAUGCCCACACGAUCUAGUGGCCUAACGCAGAAUGCAUAAACAAUGCCCCACCAGCAAGCCCAAUGCUAAGAGCCCAGCCGGACUUGACUUAGGACCCCGACUAAACCUCUAUACAAAGUCUGUCCCUAUGCUAUUGACCAUUACAAAAUUUUUGAAAAAAUACCCGUUAUAAGGGUUUAUAUAAUUUAAUGAUGCUUGUUACAUGUCAGCUGCCAAUGUUUAACCUGUACUGUUACCAUGUUGCUCCAAAAUAAAGAAUGUAAAAAAAA